CCUUAUUCUAGUUAGUUUAUAUCUUUAGUUCGAUUGAACCAAAUGAGAAUACGGACAGCUUAAAAACCUGCCCCUUACCCACCCGCACAAUGGACACCGCGGGCACCCGUGCCCUAAACCCAGCGACUCUUUCUCCCGAGCGACGACUACGGCGUUUUCUCGGCGAUCGGCUGUCUUCCUCCCCAUCAGCGAACAGCGGAAGCAAUGGCGGUGUCUUCCUCCGCUGAGUUCCCGUCGCUGCUUCGUUUUCCUCGGUGAACGGCGGCUGCCGCGUCUUCCUCUCCAUCGGCGAAACAGCGUCUCCGCCCCCCCAGUAUCUCUCUCUUUCUUUUCCUCUUCCUCCUUCGUCGUUGCAGCCCCCCCUUCCCCGAUCCCUCCUCUCUCCCCCUCCCUCUUCCACUGUCGCAGCUCCGAUCCUUCCGCCGACACCUUCCUCCCCCUCCCUUCUCCUCCCACUUUACCCUUUACCCCUCUCUCGCUGCUCCUCCCUUCCCCGACACCAUCCUCCCCUCCUCUUCCCCUCCGGGACCACAGCUCUUCCUCCCUCUUCCAUCCCGUCCUGGAAGCGCCCCCCCCAAACCCAACACACCCUGCAACCGUCGCCCCCACCCCCGAUAGAGUAGGUUACUGAUGUGGAAAAUCUCGAUAUUGUAGGUUAUUGUAUGCGAUCUUGGCAAUUGGUGUUUUUAAUCUUGAGAGUAGGUUAUUUUUUAUAUUCUCUGAUUCCUGGUGGAAUGUUAGUUAAUGGGUUUGCUGAUCAUCUUUUUGACACCAUCAAUUUUAACUUCUCACAUGUUUGUAUUUUUUUAUAAAAUAUGUCUGAUUUCUUCUUCUUUUUAUUGCUCGUGUUUUCUGGAGGAAAGGAAAGUUAUAUAGUGUAGUAGGGCUAUUGGAUAAUCUUCUCUUUUGGUGAAUAAAUAAUUUAGUGUAGUAUUGCUUAUUGAUAAUUUGGUCAAUAAAUAAUAAGUUUGAAGUCCCUGUGGUAGCUCAUAGUUCUUUUUAACAGAACUAAAACCAUAGAAAGUUUGUAUAUUAAAGGAAUUAUCUUAUUUUAACUGAGAUUUAUGUUUCUUUUUCUGAAUCCUUAAAUUGACCGUCUUUUACUCAUUGGCGCAUCUGACAUCUUUGACCCAUGUUUUAUUUGAGAUAUUGGUGGUGCAACAUAGAAAGGUCAUACUGUUUAUCACCUAGCUUUCAGUUCAAAUGAGAACGUACAGUGUGUACAUGCAUCUCUUGUCAUAACAUUGAUGAAGUGACUGCUUGCACCGAAAUAGAGGCUAUCAAGCAUCUUUAUGUUCAAUAGUAGGGUAUAUCUCAAACAUUAAAAUGACAUUGUAUCAUUCACUCCUCUAGAAAAGGUACGGAUGAUGAUCUCAAUUUUAAAGCCAUUGCCUCUGAUCUGUGAAUGCUAAAGGCAUGUGAAGAUUGCCCUUGUACUAAGGGCAAUCUUCACCUUGUAUUAAGAUUAAUCUCAAUUUUAAAGUCAUUUGUAUUAAGGGAUUGCCCCCAUUUAUGAGUUUUUUACCAUACAAGUCCUUGGUUACAUUAGUACAUUCUAGUUGCAUGUAAUGGCAUGAGCUGCAUGUUGCCCUGUGCAAUGUAGACUGAUUGGUAAGGAUGCACAAGUAGACCUUCAGUGACUUGUUACAUCCCAGAUAUAAGGCGAGGAUCAUUGAAUUUUUCUCAAAGGUUAAUUUGUUUUAUGAAACCAGUAGGACAUUAUUUUACUUUUGUUGAAGUUGGCAUUUCUUUAUUUGUUCAUUAGCUUAAAUAUUUGGUAUUUUUUAUGUUUGUUAUCUUUCCAGAGUGGGAUUACCAAGCAGUAGGGAGUUAUUUGAUGCUCAAUUGGAGAAGAAAACUUACAGGAUUAUUACUCGAGUUUAUGAAUGAUUACCAAAAAACAUUGCUACCAGUUGUCCAAAAGCCUGAUGGGAAGAAAAAUUGGAUGGCUACCUUUUAAUACUCUGUGAGUCUACAAAUGCUAGAGGAGAUGUUGAAGAGAGGCUUUGGAUGGCAGUACAAAUGCUAUGACGGUCGUGGGGACUUUGUGACUUGGGAGAACGAAGCACACACUGAGUGUUGAGGUCUAUGGGCUUCACAUGGCCCUGAGAAGCCAUGGAUCAUAAGAGGAAGCAACACGAAGCAGGGGAAAGGGAUCAUCCUCGAUAAAGUGUUAUGAUGACAAGAAUGUUUAAAGGCGUCGUUUGUUACUCAUUCUUGUAUUUACUAGAAAUUUAAGAAGUGAUCUAACUAUAUUUUUUAAAGACAUUCUAAACCUGAUGAAAUAAUGAUAUUUGGUUGAAAUUUCUAGUAUCAAUCUAACUCAACCAGAAAGCCCUCGAUUUUUCGCAAGAAUUCAGCCUAUUAUGAAAAACUUGAAGCAGCAUGUAUAUGAACAAAUGAAAAAGCAAGAUCUCUUUCAUGAGUUUGUCCAAAUAGAUGAAAUAGUGUAGGGACUAUGUCAACCUAUGUCGAUCACUACCUUGGACUAUAGCAAGUAUUGUGUGGUCUUGAGCAUGAGGCUACGUCAAGGCUAAGAAAACCUUGGACGUCCUUGUGUGACACCAAUACCAUUUGUGAUAUAUAGAAGACCAAUCACAGUGUGAUGUCCUUGCGUGGCCCAAGCGGUACCAUCGCAUGGGUCUAGUGGUAUCAGAGCAGCGUUCUUGGCGUCUCGCUGCCCUUCCAUAGCCAUGCAUCAACUCUCCACAACCGCCCAAAGCAAUUCCCACAAUUGCUUAAGAGUUCGUUGCCAAAUUCCACCAUCAUCUCCACCACUACUGAUCAUCCUUUGAUCUCCCCGUAAAUUGCAACAAAUUCUGGUUUUCUACCUUACUGCUGCUGCAAUUUAGUUAUCCUUAUUUGAAAAUCCCAAAAAAAAUAUUCCUAUAUUGCUGCAUAAACUUUUCGUCAUAAAGUUUUCAUCUCUACGACGAAAGAUACAUUGCAGAAUUCCAACCGUAUUGCACCGUCUUUUUGAUCUUGCUACUGUGUUUUUUCUAUCCAAAUCUCUUCAAAAUUUUUAUGACAUCUUUGACACUUCCUAACAGCAGAUUUUCCUUUGGUUUUGUCAAAAAAUUCUCAAUAUAAACCAUUGAUAUUUUACGUCUAAUCUGCUAUACUUGAAAAUCUGCACUAUAAAAUUUCAGCCAUAUAGCACUGUUUGUUUGAUCUUGAUACUACGUUGUUUCUAUUCAAAUCUCUACGAAAUUUUUAUGAUAGCUUUGACACUUCCUAAUAGUGGAUUUCCCUUUCGUUUCAUCAAAAAAUUCUCAAUAUAACCUACUGAUCUUUUACAUCCAAUCUGCUAUACUUAAAAAUCUGUGCUGCAGAAAAUUUCAACUGCAUAUUUUUGCCUUAACCCAUCUAUUUGCAAUCUUUUUUGAAUGAAAUUUCUUAUACACUUCAUAGAUCAUCUUGGCUUUCAUCUAUGAUUGAUCUAUUAAGAAAUUCAUCUCUAAAAACGAUUUUGUGUUGCUGCAAAUUUUUAUCGUAACCCGUUGAAAUUUCUCGACGAGAAUUCUGCAAUCGCAACUUGCACCAAUUUCCUUGUUGUUAUACUACCGAAAUUUUCUUGAUUAAAUUAGAUAUCCUUGCUGUCAUAUAAACUGUGAUUUUGCUAUCAAUUCCCUCCUCAAUUCUCUCAAGUUUUUGGUGGAAUUUACGUCGAGAAAUCGUUGUUUCUUCGACGACAAUUCUACUCUUACAAGACAACACAUACUUGCUACAACUUCCACUGAUUUUUAUCAAACCUUUGCUACCAUCUACCACAGAUUCAAAACUUUCAUCUACAGCCCUAAAACUCCACCAAACCACACCCUCAAAUUGCACCUAAAUUAGCCACAAAAUAAGCCUAAACCGUAGCCUACAUCCACCGAUCUACCAACCCUUUCGACCAUCAGCUCUCUCAGCCAAUACAUGCCUUUAACCCAACAACAAAAGAGAGAUCUUAACAUCACAGAUUUGGUGGCAUAUACUAUGGCAUCUGAUGAGGUAAUCAAUGCUAAAUUUGAAGCCUUCGAGGCACGAAUGGAGGAUAAGAUUCGGACGCUCUUUACCGAACUCAGAUUGGGCUGACCACUAAGCUCGAAGAAAUCACAUCAAGGAGAGAGCUUUGCCCAAUCGCAUCAAGCCCAAAGAUAUGACUUCCAAGAGAGGGGAAGCUCUAUGACCAACCCCAACUAUCCAUGCAUGAGAGUGGAUUUCCUUAGAUGGCAAGAAGGAGACCCGAUUGGUUGGAUCUCGCGUGCGGAGCGAUAUUUUCGGUACUAUAAAACCGCGGAUGCAUUUAUGGUGAAAAUUGCAGCUAUACAUCUUGAAGGGGAUGCUAUACAGUGGUUUGAUUGGUUUGAACAUACUUAUGGAGUCCUUUCAUGGCGACAAUUCAAAGAAGGACUACUGAUCCGCUUCAGACCAACCGAUUACGAGAAUAUUGACGGACAACUAGCAAAGAUCCGACAAACCUCCACCAUUCAAGAGUACCAAACCUGUUUUGAAAGGUUAUCUAAUCAAACUCAUGAUUGGUCUCAAAAACAGCUAUUGCGGACCUUCAUUGAGGGCUUGAAGCCAGAGAUCCAAGGAGAAGUUAAAGCGCAACAACCGUAUACGCUUAUGGCAGCCAUCUCUUUUGCACGACAUCAAGAGGAGCAAUUAAAUCAUGAAGCUCGGAGGACUAGGGUCGCUCCUCAACCAAUAAUAUUGAAGCCCUCAGCCCCCCUACUGUCGACCAAGUCCCUACACCAAAGAGGUUAACAAGAGAAGAGCUUCGGGAGCGAUAUGCGAAGGGGUUAUGUUGGCAUUGUGACGAGCCGUGGAGCCGUAAGCAUCGCUGUAGCAUAGGGAGACUUCUUAUGAGUGAACCAAUAGAAGAAGAGGUCAUUGAACAUCCAGAAGAGAGCCUUGAACAUGAAGAAGAAGAUGCGGAAGAAGAGCUACAACCGACUGAAGUUACGGUACAUGCACUAGCCGGCUACUCAAACCCGGAAACGAUGAAAGUUGGAGGCCUUCUCAAACAACAACCGAUCACUGUUCUCAUCGACACAGGCAGUUCUAAAAGCUUUAUAAACAGUAAGGUUACUAUCCAGAUGGCCUUACCUAUUGAGAAUUGCAGCAGGUUUGACGAUAAGGUCGUCGACGGACGGAUUUUGAAUUAUGAUCGUAGGCGCCCGCAGGAGAAACUAUUGCUGUAGGACCAAGAGAUAAUUACAUAUUUCUUUCUUCUCCCUCCUGAUGAUCAUAAGGCCAUGUUCAUAAUUAAAUGGUUGACGACAUUAUGUGAUAUUUCUUGGAAUUUUAUGCAACUAAUUAUGAAAUUUUACAGUAAGGGGAAACAGGUGAUACUGAACGGGAAAUGUGGGGGCGACAUAACGACGAUUUGCACACAACAAAUUGAGAAUUUUUGCAUAAAGCAUGUAGCAUAUUUUUUAUACAACAUGAGCAGCAAACUAAGAGAGAGCCAAUACAAUUUGAAGAUCCAAACCUUCUUCCUUUGCUUACUAAAUUUUCAGAUAUAUUUGACGAACCGUACAACCUACCUCUUACCCGUCGGCAUGAUCAUUAUAUAAUGAUUCUUUCAGGCAAACCUCCAGCAAAUACUCGGUCAUAUCAAUAUCUAUAUCUCCAGAAGGAUGAAAUAGAAAGGAUUGUAAAAGAAAUGCUCAAAACAUGAGUUAUUCGGCCAAGUUGCAACAUCUAUUCUUCACCGGUGCUACUUGUACGCAAGAAGGACGGAACAUGGCGAAUAUGCGUUGAUUACUGAGCUCUCAAUGGCAUAACCAUCAAUGACAAAUACCUUAUUCCAAUAGCAAAUGAAUUACUAGAUGAAAGGGAGCACAAACUUUACAAAGCUGGACUUUUGAUCCGGGUAUCAUCAAAUAUAAGUGUGCGAAGAAGACAUAUCAAAAACCACCUUUUGAACACACAACAACCAUUACGAAUUUUUGCUUUCUUCAACAGAAGGUGGAAUAUCUUGGGCAUAUCAUAUCAGAGGAAGGUGUGACAGUGGACCCCUUCAAAAUUGAAGCAAUGCAAAACUGGCCUACCCCGAAGAACGUAAAAUUGCUACAUGGCUUUCUGGGUUUAACAGGCUACUACUGCAAGUUCGUGAAAAACUAUGGCGAGAUCAGUGCAUCACUUACUUCCUUACUGAAAAAAGAUGUCUUUCAAUGGUCGGACAGAGCCUCCGCUGCCUUCGACAAACUUAAGGCAACCAUGACGACGACGUCGGUGCUAAUACUACCAGAUUUUAACCGACCCUUCAUUAUUGAGGUCGACGCAUCUGGAGUCAGAAUUGGAGCCAUUCUCAUGCAAGAUGGUCGACCACUCGCAUACACUAACAAGGCAUUAUCUCCCUCCCAUCAAAAUAAGUCAACAUAUGAUAAGGAGAUGCUCGCCAUUGUGCGCGCAGCAACGAGGUGGAGACCCUACUUGAUUGGUCGACGAUUUCAAAAUAAAACCGACCAUUAAAGCCUCAAGUACUUUUUGGAGCGAAAGAUACCAUCCCCUGAGCAGCAAAUAUGGGUUACAAAACUUCUUGGAUUUGAUUUUGAAAUAACUUACAAAAAAGGGAAAGAGAAUGUUCUUGCAUAUGCGCUUUCGAAGCUACCCGAGCAAGUUGAAGUUUCGGCCGUUUCACUUCCGACCAGCGACUUCCUUGAGGAUAUUAAGAUGGAAUGGCAGGAAGAUUCAGAUACUAGUAAGAUUAUAAAAAAAUUGUAGGAAGCACCAUGCUCCAUGGCUCAUUACAAUUGGGACUCAAAAAAUUACACUAUAAGGGACACAUUGUGCUUAUGAUAAAUUCUACUUGCAUCUUCACGAGCAGAUUUUGGACAAAGUUAUUCCAUAUACAGGGUGCUAAAUUGAAAAGGAGUACGGCAUAUCACCCACAAACCGACGGCCAAACGGAAGUUGUAAAUAGGUGCUUGGAGACAGCCCAAAGCCACCCACCAAAUAUGACUACCCAAGGAGUUCUUCAGACUCAGCCAAGUGCUAUUAUUGGUUGACGGAUCGUGACUCGACGACGACGAUCCACUACUGAAUUGCUAAUACAGUGGGCAAACCUACUAACAGAAGAUGUCACUUGGGAGAACUAUGAUGACUUGAAGAUUAAAUUCCCAAAAUUCAUUGUUCGUCAGCCUCGAGGAUAAGGCUGAUUUGAAGAGGGUGGGUCUGUUAGGACUCUAUCUAGGAGAGUCCUAAUUGAGAGGGACAUUCAUGUAAAACCAACCUAAGCCAACCCCUAUUAAAGAGGUGAAGAGGCCGGCUAGGGUUAGGAGGUUAUUUCUUAGAGAAGAAUAGGGAGUUGUAAAGGAAUAGGAGUCUUGAGUAGGAGUCCUAUUAGGAGUUGGUUAGAAGUAGGAGUUUUGAAUAGGAGUCCUAUUAGGAGUUGUUUAGAAGUAGGAGUCUUAAGUAAGAGUCCUAUUAGGAGUUAGGGUUUAGAAGCCCUAUAAAUAGUCAUGUAUUCCACCUCUUUUGAUAAGCAAUAGAUGAAUCUUUUCUGCAGCCUUUGAGCAGCAACUUAGAGGGAGGAACCCCUAUAGAGUUCCAAGGAGGCCGAUCCCCUAAAGAGAUCAACCCCAAGUUUAGAAUCUGUAAGGGUUCUAACAGUUUCAUCAUCAAAAUCUAAGAUUCAACAAAUCCCCCUAUCUCAUCUUCUCCGUUCACUAUCUUCGUAAGACAGCCCUCAGCCCUCUCUACCCCAAUCGUUGUUGCCACCCCCCUUUGCUUCUAAAUAGUGCUGAGGUCAUAGGUAAUGUUAGAGCAUGGAUGAUCCCUAAACUCUAGGAAAUGAUCUUCUUCUAUUGCUCUGAGAAGAUUUUUUUUGUUUAUUGAUGACUGUGGCUUUUGUGAGGACUUUGGAAAUCAGAUAUUGUCAUGUUUGUUGCUGUAAAUUCUAUAACUUGCAUACAUAUAUAUAUCACUCGACAACAAAAGUAUUCCUUACCGCAGGCUAGCUUCCAGCAGGAAGCAGUAGCUGAAGAGAUUCUUGAUGAAGAACAAAUCCUGAUCAAGGUUUGGGGGUUCUUUGUUUUCCUGAUAACAACAGCAAAAGUUCAGGAUUGCUUGAGAGGGCAAACCAUUUCAGUGAUGCAAAAAAUCAUCUUUUGUUUCUAGUUCUCCUCUGUUCAGUUUUAGACCCAGAUGAGGUUUUACCACUUAGAUAUGGCAGUUCUAGUUUUUCUGAGAAGUCAACUUCUUUCAUACAGUAAUAACUAGCAUUAAAAGAGAAUGAUUUCCUCACAAGAGGAUUAGUCAGUAGUCUUGAAGUGUAUCAAUGCAUAUGUGGAAAAUGGUUACCUAGAAACUGAGGUUGCUUUAACUCUAUCUUUUCCCUUCUUUGGAGAAGAUUUGUUGAACAAGUUUGAACUAUAUCACGUUCUUUGAUCUGUAGCAUGUUUCAUAAAUUCGAGGAGGUUGUCCAUGAUUCUCUGCAUUGAAUGUGUCAUUGGUAAGAAAGUUUGAUCUCUUCUGAAUGGCCUUAAUUUACACAGAGGCAAUUUUUCCUUUUUGUGUUUUCUGGAAAACUCUUACUAUGUCAUCUAGAGACACCUGGAAAGAGAAUACAGUUUGAAGUUGGAGAUUUAUAAUGAACAAGUGGUCAAGGAAUCCUUGAUCACAUAUGAAGCGUCCUUGCACUUGGUUAAUCGUUUUGAAUGCUCUGCAAUAUAACCAUCAGAAGAAUUUAUUUCUUUAUCAUGAUUGGUAUCAAUAAUGUCAGCUAAUAUGCAGAUGACAACACCUUGAUACAUGAUACCUGUCAAAGAUUAAAGAGCUAAGACAAAGUCUAGUGUGUAAAAGGCCAUGGAUGGUCUCUCUUCCUUCAGGCAGACAAGUAUGAACAUGACAUGUCUUUCCUGAAGGAUAUAUUGAUUGAAAGCAGCAAGAUGGACAUGAUUCAGCCAAGUUAUGAAGCUGUGCUGGAGAUAUGUUCACAAGAUGGUCUUUUUCUCUGCUGAAAUUCCGUUCAUGCCAGGUACCUUAUCUUCGGUGAGGCUGCAAACUUCUCUCGAGGAAGGAGAAUAUUUGAUUCCAUAAGAAGUGAUUGAAAAACUUGUAUUAGAGGUAAUUGUCCUAAGCUAGAUUUGUGUGCUAAUUAAAAAUGCAAAUGUUUCAUGUGCUCAUAUAAAACUGUUUGUGCAAUUCCAUGAGCUUUUGUGUCCAUAUGCAGAAUUUAAUAUGAUUAGUCUUUGGUGAUUCAACUACUUUGGCAAUUUUGUUUUCCUAUCUCUGGAAACCUUUUACCUAAGAGAUCCGUGAGAGUUGAACAAUGAUACAUGAAGAGAAUCUUAUGUAAAACUUUCAUAUUUUCCAGCAUGUCCCAUUUUCGUUGCUCUGUGUUGUGGCGAUAAGUUGAACAAUGAUACAUGUGCUUUGCUUUGUAGCUAUAAGUUGUUUGUCUUGUGCAGUAUGCAUGCUGGUUAUGUCCUUGUGCAUGUCCCAUCUUCUUAUAUAUGAGUACAAGCACAUGAUAAACACCCAAAUUGGAGGAAUAAGCAAUCGAUGGUUGGAAACUUAUUUUACCUACCCAACUAGUUUUAUAAUCUUAAUGAUAAAAUCUAGGACAUAAGUCAACCAUGUAUUAAAAUCAGGCCUUGUUUCUCAUAUCAAGCUGGCUGAUUCUAUCAAUUUUUGAUAUAUUCUGAAAUGAUUCAACAUGAAUAUGAUGGACCUACCUUGUCAAUAAGUGGAUCUCCCUAGUUCUCUGCAGUAUAUCCACUAUCAUUAACUCCAGAUCAUGCUGACAAAAUUAUUUGUCAAAUGGCUCUUGGGCUUUUUUUUCCUUUGUUUAACUCUUUGUAGGAAAACAAUAAUUUUAUAUUAUAGUGGACAUAGACCAAUUUCUCCAAGGAUCUUGGUAACAUUCAAUUGUCACCAAUCACUGAUUGCAAACUAUAUUGUAUAUAGACCAGAUUCUCCAUGCAUAUGUAUGACAUCCUUGGACGAUGUGGUUUUUGAUACGCUCUGCAUGAAAAAGAUCCUUAAGGGCUGCAAAAUUUCAAUUGCACAAUGAGUUCAAAAAUUGGUUCAGCUGAGCUGAAGAUUGGGAAUGUAUUCUUGCAUGGAAUGAUGGUAUUGUCACUAAUUGUGUCAUAUUUCUCAUUAGACAUGUCCUAAGGUAACACAUGUCAAUUUUGUAUCUUUUGAAUUGGUUUUUUCAAAACUUGAAGCAGUAAAAGAUUGUUUCAUGUUUAGCAAUUAAUUCCAAUCUAGUCUUGAUUUAUUUA